CACUCAUCAAUGAUUCAUUGACGAAGAACGCUUGGUGUUACGAUCGUGCACGAAAGCACCGUCCUAUAGCUUACCCUUAUAUUCUGAGGGUGAAAACCCUCACCAGGUUUCAUAACACGGAACAUCAUUCGCUGGUGGAUUUAAUCAGCGACCACGAUCUAGAAUCAGGAAAGAUUACAAGGACUACGAAGGACCUUGGUAAGGACUUGAAAAUGGAGGCUUGAAUAUCCUCGAUUAUUUACCAGGUGGACGUCACAUUACCGUCGGCUUAGGAUCGACGCGGUGAGCCGCGAAGUCGUCCCUGACAAGUCCUUGGGAGUUUGAGUCUGUUACGAGGCACAUAGGUAGUACCUAGAGGACCUCGCUGGACAAGAAUGACUAAAAGAAUAAAAAUGUCUACGUGGGAACGUCGUAUCAUCCGGAAGGAAUGCAAGCGGGCUUCCGCUUGAUUUCUCGCCCAGGACCAUCCCGAGG